CGCCGUGCGCCCGCACUCCUCAGCCCUUGGGAGGUAGAUGGGACUGGGCGCCGUGGAGCAGGGGGCGGCGCUCGUCGGGGAGGCUCGGGUCGCACAGGAGCCCAUGGAGGUGGGGGGAGGCUCAGGCACGGCUGGGCUGCAGGUCCGGAGCCCUGCCCCGCGGGAAGGCAGCUAAGGACGGGCGAGAAAUUAAGCACAGCAGCUGCUGGCCCAGGUGCUAAGCCCCUCACUGCCUGGGGCUGGCGGGGCCGGCAGGCCGCUCCGAGUGCGGGCCCGCCGAGCCUACGCCCACCCGGAACUCGCGCUGGCCCGGAAGCACCGCGCGCAGCCCCGGUUCCGGCCCGCGCCUCUCCCUCCACACCUCCCCACAAGCUGAGGGAGCCGGCUGCGGCCUUCGCCAGCCCAGAAAGGGGCUCCUACAGUGCAGUGGCGGGCUGAAGGGCUGCUCAAGCGCCGCCAAAGUGGGAGCCCAGGCAGAGGAGGCGCCCAGAGCGAGCGAGGGCUGUGAGGACUGCCAGCACGCUGUCACCUCUCACUCAUAUAGAUUGCCAAUCUAUUUGUGAACCAGGUUUGCUGGAGUUUGGAUUUACUACUGAGUCAUAUUUGGAGCAUGCUGGAAUCUUACAACUGAGAUUACCGAGUCAGAAACUUGCAAACAUGAGUAACAUGGCCCUGCUCUGGAGACUACUGGGAACACAAACACAGCCAUUUAAGACAUCUACCUGCUUCUCCUUUGCCUUCCAUCAUGACUGAAAGUUGUCUGAGGUCUCCCAGCCACGUGUCCUGUACAGCCUGUGGAACUACUUUAAAGAAGAAUCAGAAAAUGGAGACUGGGAUUGGAAGCAGAGAUCCGAUGGCCAAAUUACAGUCUGCCACUGAAGCUAACACACCUAUGGAUAACCCAACCUGUAAACUCAAUGUGGAACACAGUUUGAGAAAAGAAGUGAGAAGAUUCAAUUUUGAAGUUGGAUCACUCUCCUACAGGCAAUGAAGACCACAUCACUGAUGAAUUUUGGAUAUUUGACAAAUCUGAGGAAUUGAAGAGACGGGCACCUCACCUUUUCUGAGCAGAAGAGUUCAUUUGAUGAAACCUGAAGUAGAGAGCAGGCUCUCCUGCAAUUCUAUUACCUGUUUGAAUGUGAAGAUGGGAUGAAGUAGCAAGAAGGACCUCACAAAAUACCUCCCCCACCACCCCAUCAUCUUGCACUUUCCAGUCUGCAGAACUGUGAGAAAGAAAUUUUUAAAAUUAUUAUUAUACUUUAAGUUAUAGGGUACAUGUGCACAAUGUGCAGGUUUGUUACAUAGGUGUACAUGUGCCAUGUUGGUUUGCUGCGUCCAUCAACUCGUCAUUUACAUUAGGUAUUUCUCCUAAUGCUAUCCCUCCCCCAGUCCCCCAGCCCCUGAUAUGCCCCAGUGUGUGAUGUUCCCCUCCCUGUGUCCAUGUGUUCUCAUUCAACUCCCACCUAUGAGUGAGAACACACGGUGUUUGGUUUUCUGCCCUUGUGACAUUUUGCAGAGGAUGAUGGUUUCCAGCUUCAUCCAUGUCCCUGCAUAGGACAUGAACUCCUUUUUUAUGGCUGCAUAUAUUCCACGGUGUAUAUGUGCCACAUUUUCUUAAUCCAGUCUAUCAUUGAUGGACAUUUGGGUUGGUUCCAAGUCUUUGCUAUUGUGAAUAAUGCCACAAUAAACAUAUAUG
rnacentral:lncRNA from 10 species